rnacentral:rRNA from 1 species
AUUGAACGCUGGCGGCAUGCCUUACACAUGCAAGUCGAACGGCAGCACGGGUGCUUGCACCUGGUGGCGAGUGGCGAACGGGUGAGUAAAGCAUCGGAACGUACCGUGAAGUGGGGGAUAACGUAGCGAAAGUUACGCUAAUACCGCAUAUUCUGUGAGCAGGAAAGAGGGGGAUCGCAAGACCUCUUGCUUUACGAGCGGCCGAUGUCGGAUUAGCUAGUUGGUGAGGUAAAGGCUCACCAAGGCGACGAUCCGUAGCGGGUCUGAGAGGAUGAUCCGCCACACUGGGACUGAGACACGGCCCAGACUCCUACGGGAGGCAGCAGUGGGGAAUUUUGGACAAUGGGGGCAACCCUGAUCCAGCCAUGCCGCGUGAGUGAAGAAGGCCUUCGGGUUGUAAAGCGCUUUCGGCCGGGAAGAAAUCGCACGGGCUAAUACCCUGUGUGGAUGACGGUACCGGAAUAAGAAGCACCGGCUAACUACGUGCCAGCAGCCGCCGUAAGAC